CAGUAGCCGCGGGAAUACGUAGGUGGCAAGCGUUGUCCGGAAUUAUUGGGCGUAAAGGGCUCGCAGGCGGUUUCUUAAGUCUGAUGUGAAAGCCCCCGGCUCAACCGGGGAGGGUCAUUGGAAACUGGGAAACUUGAGUGCAGAAGAGGAGAGUGGAAUUCCACGUGUAGCGGUGAAAUGCGUAGAGAUGUGGAGGAACACCAGUGGCGAAGGCGACUCUCUGGUCUGCAACUGACGCUGAGGAGCGAAAGCGUGGGGAGCGAACAGGAUUAGAUACCCCGGUAGUCCCUGUCUCUUAUAA
rnacentral:rRNA from 1 species